GGGGAUGAUCGGUUUCGACAUUGCCUGCGUAACUGUGAGAAGCGGGUCGAGGAUGCAGGGUUAUCUCGUAAACGAUCUCUGCAAAACAAUAAGUGCCAAUUCAAACCGCACUGUCUCGCGUUCCGCUUUCGCCCUCGCGGCCUAAGUAGAACCACAUUGAGACCGUCAGACCGGGAAUGCUCUCUACUCGGAUCCUGACGUCAUUUAGAGAGAUUGCUCCUAUCCUGAGCCUCGGGGUAUAGGGGGACUCAAACGAGGGCUGGGCUCGUCGGAUCAGCUGCCAGUGGCAAGUUCCGGAGCCGAGUAGAACGCCUUCACUGGAUACACCCGUAGAAGAAACAUGACCACAGCAAUGGACCGGGGUUCAAUUCCCCGCAUCUCCACCA
rfam:Cryobacterium sp. LW097, complete genome.